AAAACUCAAGUCCCUUGAAAUGAUGCUCCAAAACUCCAGAACCACAUUUUAAAAUAGUAAAAAUCAUGUUUGAGUUUUGGUGUUCUGCUUUAAGAAAGUUUCCUUUCAUAUUGUUUAAGUCUUCAUUCAUCUUUAUAUCGACAGAUUCCCUUUAUGCUAUGAAGAAUAGCUAAGGAUAGUUAUGAGAACUGGUAAAGCUGAUUUGCAAAGCUCCAGCAAUAAUUCAGUAAUCAUGUAAAAUCAAACUCCUCAGCCCUGUUAGCAAAUCAGCUGCUUUGUAUGUCCACUGUGAGGCAUUCUGGGAAAUGAAGGUAAUCCUAGAACUAGCCUCUUUACACAUCAGCCCAAGCGAACUAGCUUAGUUUGCUAGUUAUGUAGAGGAGAGAGAGAAAAAAAAAGUUUCCUGGACUGUGAACUAUAUAAACACUUGCCCUUCCUUUUGCAGUGGAAUCUUUCGAAGGUUAAGUAAUAGUAAAUAAUCAACCAAGAUUUCUCAGAUUGGCUGCGUUUACCUUUCUCUGAAAGAAUUUUUCCCUGUGAGGACGAAGCAACUUUGGAAUGAGAGUAUUUCCUUUUCAGCCUCCUUGCUUCAGACAUUCAGAGAACAAGCUCAAGCCUGGCCUGACUAGCAGGGCUGCCUGGGGCAGGCAAAUAGACUUGCCAUGUGGGGAAGGGAGGUUGAACACACAUGAUUGCUUAUGUAUAGCAGCCACCCUGGACCAUGAAACCACCAAGAAUGAGGACAUGUAUGUGGGAUAGAAGAGGAGAAAGGCAGAAAGAUCCUAACAUAAUCUGGCUACUGUGACAUCCAGGACUGCUUUCCCCCAAAUGCCUUGCAUGUGACAAAAGAAUCCGUGUUUGAGUAAAAAUCACUGUUUGUCAGAUUUUCUGCUUCUUGCAGCUAAAUAAAAUAUUAACCAAUAAAGCCACAUGUUAGGAACACUGAA